UAGCUAGUUGGUGAGGUAAAGGCUUACCAAGGCGACGAUCUGUAGCGGGUCUGAGAGGAUGAUCCGCCACACUGGAACUGAGACACGGUCCAGACUCCUACGGGAGGCAGCAGUGGGGAAUUUUGGACAAUGGGGGCAACCCUGAUCCAGCCAUGCCGCGUGAGUGAAGAAGGCCUUCGGGUUGUAAAGCUCUUUCGGCCGGGAAGAAAUCGCAUGGGCCAAUACCCUGUGUGGAUGACGGUACCGGAAUAAGAAGCACCGGCUAACUACGUGCCAGCAGCCGCGGUAAUACGUAGGGUGCGAGCGUUAAUCGGAAUUACUGGGCGUAAAGCGUGCGCAGGCGGUUUUGUAAGACAGGCGUGAAAUCCCCGGGCUUAACCUGGGAACUGCGUUUGUGACUGCAAGGCUAGAGUACGGCAGAGGGGGGUGGAAUUCCACGUGUAGCAGUGAAAUGCGUAGAGAUGUGGAGGAACACCAAUGGCGAAGGCAGCCCCCUGGGUCGAUACUGACGCUCAUGCACGAAAGCGUGGGUAGCAAACAGGAUUAGAUACCCUGGUAGUCCACGCCCUAAACUAUGUCAACUAGGUGUUGGGUGGGUAAAACCAUUUAGUACCGUAGCUAACGCGUGGAGUUGACCGCCUGGGGAGUACGGCCGCAAGGUUAAAACUCAAAGGAAUUGACGGGGACCCGCACAAGCGGUGGAUGAUGUGGAUUAAUUCGAUGCAACGCGAAAAACCUUACCUACCCUUGACAUGCCAGGAACUUGCCAGAGAUGGCUUGGUGCCCGAAAGGGAGCCUGGACACAGGUGCUGCAUGGCUGUCGUCAGCUCGUGUCGUGAGAUGUUGGGUUAAGUCCCGCAACGAGCGCAACCCUUGUCGUUAAUUGCCAUCAUUUAGUUGGGCACUUUAACGAGACUGCCGGUGACAAACCGGAGGAAGGUGGGGAUGACGUCAAGUCCUCAUGGCCCUUAUGGGUAGGGCUUCACACGUCAUACAAUGGUCGGUACAAAGGGUUGCCAAGCCGCGAGGCGGAGCCAAUCCCAGAAAGCCGAUCGUAGUCCGGAUUGCAGGCUGCAACUCGCCUGCAUGAAGUCGGAAUCGCUAGUAAUCGUGGAUCAGCAUGUCACGGUGAAUACGUUCCCGGGUCUUGUACACACCGCCCGUCACACCAUGGGAGCGGGUUCCGCCAGAAGUAGGUAGCCUAACCGCAAGGGGGGCGCUUACCACGGCGGGGUUCGUGACUGGGGUGAAGUCGGAACAAGGUAGCCGUAGGGGAACCUGCGGCUG
rnacentral:rRNA from 1 species